GGUUAAGCGACUAAGCGUACACGGUGGAUGCCCUGGCAGUCAGAGGCGAUGAAGGACGUGCUAAUCUGCGAUAAGCGUCGGUAAGGUGAUAUGAACCGUUAUAACCGGCGAUUUCCGAAUGGGGAAACCCAGUGUGUUUCGACACACUAUCAUUAACUGAAUCCAUAGGUUAAUGAGGCGAACCGGGGGAACUGAAACAUCUAAGUACCCCGAGGAAAAGAAAUCAACCGAGAUUCCCCCAGUAGCGGCGAGCGAACGGGGAGCAGCCCAGAGCCUGAAUCAGUGUGUGUGUUAGUGGAAGCGUCUGGAAAGGCGCGCGAUACAGGGUGACAGCCCCGUACACAAAAAUGCACAUGCUGUGAGCUCGAUGAGUAGGGCGGGACACGUGGUAUCCUGUCUGAAUAUGGGGGGACCAUCCUCCAAGGCUAAAUACUCCUGACUGACCGAUAGUGAACCAGUACCGUGAGGGAAAGGCGAAAAGAACCCCGGCGAGGGGAGUGAAAAAGAACCUGAAACCGUGUACGUACAAGCAGUGGGAGCACAGAGCAAUCUGUGUGACUGCGUACCUUUUGUAUAAUGGGUCAGCGACUUAUAUUCUGUAGCAAGGUUAACCGAAUAGGGGAGCCGAAGGGAAACCGAGUCUUAACUGGGCGUUAAGUUGCAGGGUAUAGACCCGAAACCCGGUGAUCUAGCCAUGGGCAGGUUGAAGGUUGGGUAACACUAACUGGAGGACCGAACCGACUAAUGUUGAAAAAUUAGCGGAUGACUUGUGGCUGGGGGUGAAAGGCCAAUCAAACCGGGAGAUAGCUGGUUCUCCCCGAAAGCUAUUUAGGUAGCGCCUCGUGAAUUCAUCUCCGGGGGUAGAGCACUGUUUCGGCAAGGGGGUCAUCCCGACUUACCAACCCGAUGCAAACUGCGAAUACCGGAGAAUGUUAUCACGGGAGACACACGGCGGGUGCUAACGUCCGUCGUGAAGAGGGAAACAACCCAGACCGCCAGCUAAGGUCCCAAAGUCAUGGUUAAGUGGGAAACGAUGUGGGAAGGCCCAGACAGCCAGGAUGUUGGCUUAGAAGCAGCCAUCAUUUAAAGAAAGCGUAAUAGCUCACUGGUCGAGUCGGCCUGCGCGGAAGAUGUAACGGGGCUAAACCAUGCACCGAAGCUGCGGCAGCGACGCUGAUGCGUUGUUGGGUAGGGGAGCGUUCUGUAAGCCUGCGAAGGUGUGCUGUGAGGCAUGCUGGAGGUAUCAGAAGUGCGAAUGCUGACAUAAGUAACGAUAAAGCGGGUGAAAAGCCCGCUCGCCGGAAGACCAAGGGUUCCUGUCCAACGUUAAUCGGGGCAGGGUGAGUCGACCCCUAAGGCGAGGCCGAAAGGCGUAGUCGAUGGGAAACAGGUUAAUAUUCCUGUACUUGGUGUUACUGCGAAGGGGGGACGGAGAAGGCUAUGUUGGCCGGGCGACGGUUGUCCCGGUUUAAGCGUGUAGGCUGGUUUUCCAGGCAAAUCCGGAAAAUCAAGGCUGAGGCGUGAUGACGAGGCACUACGGUGCUGAAGCAACAAAUGCCCUGCUUCCAGGAAAAGCCUCUAAGCAUCAGGUAACAUCAAAUCGUACCCCAAACCGACACAGGUGGUCAGGUAGAGAAUACCAAGGCGCUUGAGAGAACUCGGGUGAAGGAACUAGGCAAAAUGGUGCCGUAACUUCGGGAGAAGGCACGCUGAUAUGUAGGUGAAGUCCCUCGCGGAUGGAGCUGAAAUCAGUCGAAGAUACCAGCUGGCUGCAACUGUUUAUUAAAAACACAGCACUGUGCAAACACGAAAGUGGACGUAUACGGUGUGACGCCUGCCCGGUGCCGGAAGGUUAAUUGAUGGGGUUAGCGCAAGCGAAGCUCUUGAUCGAAGCCCCGGUAAACGGCGGCCGUAACUAUAACGGUCCUAAGGUAGCGAAAUUCCUUGUCGGGUAAGUUCCGACCUGCACGAAUGGCGUAAUGAUGGCCAGGCUGUCUCCACCCGAGACUCAGUGAAAUUGAACUCGCUGUGAAGAUGCAGUGUACCCGCGGCAAGACGGAAAGACCCCGUGAACCUUUACUAUAGCUUGACACUGAACAUUGAGCCUUGAUGUGUAGGAUAGGUGGGAGGCUUUGAAGUGUGGACGCCAGUCUGCAUGGAGCCGACCUUGAAAUACCACCCUUUAAUGUUUGAUGUUCUAACGUUGACCCGUAAUCCGGGUUGCGGACAGUGUCUGGUGGGUAGUUUGACUGGGGCGGUCUCCUCCUAAAGAGUAACGGAGGAGCACGAAGGUUGGCUAAUCCUGGUCGGACAUCAGGAGGUUAGUGCAAUGGCAUAAGCCAGCUUGACUGCGAGCGUGACGGCGCGAGCAGGUGCGAAAGCAGGUCAUAGUGAUCCGGUGGUUCUGAAUGGAAGGGCCAUCGCUCAACGGAUAAAAGGUACUCCGGGGAUAACAGGCUGAUACCGCCCAAGAGUUCAUAUCGACGGCGGUGUUUGGCACCUCGAUGUCGGCUCAUCACAUCCUGGGGCUGAAGUAGGUCCCAAGGGUAUGGCUGUUCGCCAUUUAAAGUGGUACGCGAGCUGGGUUUAGAACGUCGUGAGACAGUUCGGUCCCUAUCUGCCGUGGGCGCUGGAGAACUGAGGGGGGCUGCUCCUAGUACGAGAGGACCGGAGUGGACGCAUCACUGGUGUUCGGGUUGUCAUGCCAAUGGCACUGCCCGGUAGCUAAAUGCGGAAGAGAUAAGUGCUGAAAGCAUCUAAGCACGAAACUUGCCCCGAGAUGAGUUCUCCCUGACUCCUUGAGAGUCCUGAAGGAACGUUGAAGACGACGACGUUGAUAGGCCGGGUGUGUAAGCGCAGCGAUGCGUUGAGCUAACCGGUACUAAUGAACCGUGAGGCUUAACCUU
rnacentral:rRNA from 1 species